rnacentral:lncRNA from 1 species
CCAGGCACGAGAGCCGCGCUUUCCCGGCUAAAGAGCCGCUUCCACUCCAGCUGGGGCAGCCGGUCUCCGCCGCCGCCCGCGAGGAGGAGGAGGAGCUGCAGCAGACGCCGCACACCCGCCUUUCUCCGCCGGUUCCGCGCGCGUCGGGGUUACCCAGGCAACCCGAGCCGAGGUAGCGGCGGGAGUAGGCGGGAAUAAGCGAGCGGAGGACCGCAGCGUGGCCAGGACUUCUCUGGCUGAGGAGGAAGAAUCCAGGGGUUCUGAUUCUUCAUGUCGGCCCAGAUGGCAGUGUGGUACAGUGGAAAGAGCAGGAAGUCACGUCCUGGGGAUCCAAUUGGUGGCUCUCUCGGGUAAACUCUUUACCUUCUGAGACUGACUCCUCAUCUGCUUAAUGUGGAUGUUAAUACCUGCCUUGAGGAUCAAGUGUAAUAGAUGUGAAAACUGAGUACUUUUUGAAUGUGAAAUAGUUACCUUAAAGUCAUCUUGGGGAGUCAACAAUAUUAUCACACUGGAGAUUUCUGCAAAACAGUGCUAUCAUUUUAUCCAUCUGUAGUUGUAAAGCUAGUUUGCUGUACUGUUAAUUCAGCUUCCAACAACUGGUGCCUGUACCAGGUGCUGGGUCUGAAACAAUGAGUAAGACAGCAUGGGCUCUUCCCUCACAGAGCUGACACUCCAGGGGGGGACACAAAGAAGCACUUGUUACACUUACUUAAAUUAUUAAAGUGUGCUAAGGGUUAUGGUAGAGGAUCUUUGGGGUAUGGGUUACCAGGCAAAAUAUAGGACACCCAGUUAAAUGUGAAUUUCAGCUAAACACAAUACAUUUUUAGUACAAAUAUGUCCCAAAUAUUGCAUGGGAAAUUUACAUUAAAAAUUGUAUAUUGGAAAUCCAAAUGUUGCAUGGAGCAUACUUAUACAAAAAGAUUAUUCCUUAUUUAUAUGACAUUCAAAUUUAACUGGGCAUCCUGCAUUUUUAUUUGCUAUAUCUAGCAGUCUUAUCUAGGCUCCAAGGGAGUCCAUAGAAAGAGCAGCUAGCCUUUUCUGGAAAGGCUUUCCAGAGCAAGUGUUGGUUAAACUAAGAAGGAGGUGGGAGGAUAGAGAAGACAGUGGAUUUGGCCUAGAAUAUUCCAAGCAGAGGAACAGAAUAUGGGAGUGCUGGAAGCCUGAUUGCCUAGAGGGCAUUACAGGACCUAUCUGACACAGAAUGUCUGGGAUCAAAGUUGGGGAGACUGGGGGAGAUUAAGAAGGGGAUUUAAUAGUUAACAUAUAUAUAAAGCCAACACUUAUAUAAAGCUAACACUUAUUAUAUAAAGCUUAUUACAUGCCAGGUACUGUGUUUUAUGCUUUAUGCAUUUUAUACUCACUUAAUGUUCACAACAACCCUGUGAGAUAGAUGCUAUUAUUGUCCCCUGUUUUACAGAUAAAAUGGAGACACAGAGAUGUGAUGUAUUUGCCCUCAGUUAUGCAGCUGAUAAAGGGCAGAACUAGGAUCCAAACUUAGACAGCUUUGCUACUUUCUCCAUUAUCGCCAUGCUGUGCUGCUUCAAGGGCAAGAUCAUGCAAAACCUUGUACACUACUUUAAGUGUUUAAGCUUUACCUGAAGCCAUUGAAGAGCUUUUAUCAAGGAAGAGAGAUGAUUUGUCUUUUGUUUCACAUGGAUUGGGGUGAGCAAGACAGCAGGCCAGUUAGGUGCAGUUAUUCAGGCAAGAGGUGGUGGUAAUAAGGGCAGUGAUAAGAUAUUAGAGUCUAGAGCUAUUUAAGGAGCUAGUUUAAAAGGUGAUCUCAAUGUUCAAGGUCAGGAGAAGUCAAAGAGAACUCUGGGUCUGGCUUAUGCAUCUGGGCAAGUGGCUGGAUGGUGGUUAGAACAAUGAAACCUUUCAUAGGUUCAAUAAGAACAUGAAGAAAAUUGUGUGCAUUUCCAUUAAAUUAUGCAUUUACCAUAAAAAAUAGAACUCAAUCAAGAUGCAAGUAUUAAAGGACACAAUACUUAAAUAAUACACAUAUGUAAAUACAAAUAGUUACCUUUUAUUGGUUUCAAUCAUUGCUUAAAAUGCUAUCCCCAAGAUUUUUGUUGAGUGAAUUCAUAAAAUUCUUUGUACAUUUAAUCCAAACUUUGUGCAUAGCUCCACGGUGCUUCAUGGAAUUUGGCAAAAACAACAAACCUUGAAAGGAACGUUUAUGACUUUGUGUAGCAUUUCAGUUGUAAGGAAUCUUUUAUUUUAAUUCAGGGAAUGUUUUUUUUAAGAAAUCAAUUUUAUUGAUACGUAUUAAUAACGCAUAAAUUCAAACAAAUGUACAAUCAAUAGUAUUCAGUAUAAUCAUAGUUGUGCAUUCAUCACAUUCAUUUUUAGAGCAUUUUCAUUAUUCCA